UCUUAUUGUUGCUGCUGAACUACUUAUAAACUCCCAAGGAUGAUAUCGAUUGACAGUCUUCUGCAGGACAUGUUGGAAACAGUUCGUGCUUUUCUAGCACUUUCAUGCAGUUACUUCAGUAAUGAAGAAGCAACUACCUCCAUAACGGAUUCAGAUGGAUGGUUAAGAAUUGAAGAUCUCUGCCUACAUUGAUGAGGAUGGUUUCAUUUUUGUGAUUGAUAGGCUGAAGGAGGUGAUCAAGUAUAAGAGUUAUCAAGUGUCUCCAUGCAAGAGGAUAGAGAAGUUUGCAUUUGUGGGUUCAAUCCCCAAGAACAAGACACCUGGGAAGGAUCUAAUAAAGCUUGCAACGUCCAAACUUUAAAUUUAGGAUUUGGCCUUCUAAUUAUAGUAAGUUGAAGUUUAUUGAUAAUAUACAUAAAUGGGUUUUA